CAUAUUCCUCUGUCCUUUUUUUUCCUCCCAGAUCUAGAUCUGCACCAAAUUCCUCUCUCUGCAUUUUCAAAAUUUGAAUUCCCAAGUGGAAAGAGAGGAGAGGGAGACAGAGAGAGAAGGAGAAAUAGAGAGAGAGAUGCGAUGGAGAAGGAGAGAUGACGGCAUGAGAAACCCUAAAUACAAAAUUGUUCAGAUCUUGAAGGAUUUCCGAUACGAAACCUUUGUUAGACGAAUAACAUGAAGCCGGUUUCUUCAUCCGUAUGCGGACAACCAGGUCAGUGAAAUUUGAAUCGCCUUUUUGAAGGUUUUCUUGAGUUGCAGCAGGAAACAGAGGCUGCAAGAAACCAAUUGGAGGCAAUGAAGCAAAAGAAACAAACUUUAGAAGCUGAAGUUAGGUUCUUGAGGCGUCGACGCAAAUUUUUAUUGAAAACGAGAACAUCAACUUCACAAGAAGUGAUUUUACCGAAUAUAGAAACAACCCAAUACAGGAAAAGCAAGAAGGAGAAGGUUAAUAACCCGAAGAAGGCUGCGACUUUGACGAAUUUGCCCCCGACUCCAAACGUAAUCUAGAUGGGGAAAAACAAAUAGCAAGAGAAGCCGAUAAGUUUGGAAGUUCAAUGGAGUUGGCCCGUCAAGAAAUAGAAUUGAAUCCAUCUCGAAGAUGACCCGUUUUAAUCUGGUUCAUUGCAAUUCUUUUGUUUUUAUUUUAUUUUAUAUUUUGUCUUGAUAUUCUUUAGGUUGGCAGGGAAACAAAUUGUUCUCUUGCUUGCCAGAGGCAUUAGUUGUGUACUGUUUCUAGAAAAUACAACAAACCCACAACCAUCACUGCCCUUUCAUACUCGGGUAGACAUGGAUAUGGAAGAUGAGGACGCUUCACAGGAAUCUCAUGUUAAAAACCCACAUGACGAAACGAAAGAUCAGGUGGAUGAUUUUAGACCUCAUGCCAGGAGUUACCAGAUCGGGCAAUCAGUAUAACGAGCAUUUUAUGGGUUCCAGUUCGUGCUACUAAUGAUGUAUUAGAAAGAGGAACAUCUGUAGGUUCCAGUUCGUGCUACUAUGAUUACUGAAGAGGAAGCUAAAGCUAUGAAUCCCAAUUCUAUAUUAAACAUAAGAUACACAAGGUUUCCACGUGUUCAAGGCAUGAAUGAUGAAAAAUCCCCUGAAACGAUCCUAGCACACGAUCGAGUUAUCUGUCUAGGGGAUCUAAAUCACCGAAUUGCCCUCUCGUAUCGAUCUGCAAAGGCGCUUGUUGAAAUGCAGAACUGGAGAGCAUUGUUGGUGAAAGAUCAGGUUACACCACCUUAUGGAAACUUUCUUCACUAAAAAGAGAAUUUAGUGCAGGGCCAUCUUGCAUUUGCAUCAAGCAAGCAAGUCUGGGCAAUAUAUAACAUGUUCCUGGCCGGACCCUUCUAAUGAAGGUGGUUCCUUAAAUGCAAAUAUCGACCGGAAAGUUGAUGUAGUCUUUUGUAAUUCAAGUGUAGACAUUACAAAAUUUUAUUUUAUAGUACAGCAAGCACCAUCAACUUAGAUGAACAAAAGGCCUCCUUUAGAAUUGAAUAUUGCGGAAUAAUUGGUUAGACACCUUUGUUAGUAAACUCCCAAACCUAAGUUCGAACCAAGAAUCGAACUGGGCACCUCCCAGGAAGGACCCACCAUGUGGAUUACCCUCCUACCUCAAGCUAGACGAUUGCCUAUGAACCAAACAUGCAUGAGGCAAGUGCAUCGCGCAGGUUUCCUCCUAGAUCGAUCACACCAAUGCUACGAAUAACAAAACGAAUGUAAGUACAAUACAAUAUAUCAUGAGAGAAUUAAUAAACUAACUGAAAACGAGUACUAUGUUGUAAUUUGUAGGUUCCUAUUGUAAAUCGCCAUCGUCGAUCACGAAGAUAGUUAUUUUAUUUAUUUAUUUUUU